rnacentral:rRNA from 1 species
UACGGAGGUUGCAAGCGUUAUCCGGAUUUAUUGGGUUUAAAGGGUGCGUAGGCGGGAUAAUAAGUCAGUGGUGAAAACCUGCAGCUUAACUGUAGAACUGCCAUUGAUACUGUUAUUCUUGAGUAUAGUUGAGGUGGGCGGAAUGUGUAAUGUAGCGGUGAAAUGCUUAGAUAUUACACAGAACACCAAUUGCGUAGGCAGCUCACUAAACUAAAACUGACGCUGAGGCACGAAAGCGUGGGGAG